CAGAGGGUGCAAACGUUGCUCGGAAUUACUGGGCGUAAAGCGCGUGUAGGCGGGUCGGUGUGUCGGACGUGAAAUCCCUAGGCUCAACCUAGGAACUGCGCCCGAAACUGCCGAUCUUGAGUGGUGGAGAGGGAAGUGGAAUUCCUGGUGUAGAGGUGAAAUUCGUAGAUAUCAGGAGGAACACCGGUGGCGAAGGCGGCUUCCUGGACACCAACUGACGCUGAGACGCGAAAGCGUGGGGAGCAAACAGGAUUAGAUACCCUGGUAGUCCACGCCGUAAACGAUGGGCACUAGGUGUCGCGGGUUUUGACCCCCGCGGUGCCGUAGCAAACGCGUUAAGUGCCCCGCCUGGGGAGUACGGCCGCAAGGCUA
rnacentral:rRNA from 1 species